rnacentral:rRNA from 1 species
AUGAACGCUAGCGACAGGCCUAACACAUGCAAGUCGAGGGGCAGCACAAGGAGCAAUCUGAGGUGGCGACCGGCGCACGGGUGAGUAACACGUAUGCAACCUGCCUGUAAGCGGGGAAUAACCCGUUGAAAGACGGACUAAUACCGCAUAAUACUAAAUUACUGCAUGGUAAUUUAUUUAAACAUUUUUGGCUUACAGAUGGGCAUGCGCAUGAUUAGCUAGUUGGAGAGGUAACGGCUCCCCAAGGCAACGAUCAUUAGGGGUUCUGAGAGGAAGGUCCCCCACACUGGUACUGAGACACGGACCAGACUCCUACGGGAGGCAGCAGUGAGGAAUAUUGGUCAAUGGACGAGAGUCUGAACCAGCCAAGUCGCGUGCAGGAAGAAUGUCCCUAUGGAUUGUAAACUGCUUUUGCAGGGGAAUAAAGUGCAUCACGUGUGAUGUUUUGUAUGUACUCUGCGAAUAAGGAUCGGCUAACUCCGUGCCAGCAGCGGC